GGAUGCGAUCAUACCAGCACUAAAGCACCGUAUCCCAUCAGAACUCGCAGUUAAGCGUGCUUGGGCGAGAGUAGUACUAGGAUGGGUGACCCCUGGGAAGUCCUCGUGUUGCAUCCC
rnacentral:rRNA from 1 species